UCCAGACUCCUACGGGAGGCAGCAGUGGGGAAUAUUGGGCAAUGGGCGCAAGCCUGACCCAGCAACGCCGCGUGAAGGAAGAAGGCUUUCGGGUUGUAAACUUCUUUUCUGAGGGACGAAGAAAGUGACGGUACCUCAGGAAUAAGCCACGGCUAACUACGUGCCAGCAGCCGCGGUAAUACGUAGGUGGCAAGCGUUAUCCGGAUUUAUUGGGUGUAAAGGGCGUGUAGGCGGGAAAGCAAGUCAGAUGUGAAAACUCAGGGCUCAACCCUGAGCCUGCAUUUGAAACUGUUUGUCUUGAGUGCGGGAGAGGCAAUCGGAAUUCCGUGUGUAGCGGUGAAAUGCGUAGAUAUACGGAGGAACACCAGUGGCGAAGGCGGAUUGCUGGACAGUAACUGACGCUGAGGCGCGAAAGCGUGGGGAGCAAACAGGAUUAGAUACCCUUGAA
rnacentral:rRNA from 1 species